GUGCGGCAGCACUUGCGUCUACCAAGGUUUCAAUUGGCGAGAUCAGAGCAGCCGGCGGAAGCCCUCGCCGCUGCCUCCAACAACAACAAGGCAGGCAGAGAGUCGCUCAUAUGUACCCAAAACAUAUGACGCGGCGCACCUGCUUUGAGAAGGGAAUGGAUAAGGGUAGGUUGUAGCAGUAGGGAAAACGUAUGCGCGACGCACCUACUGUGAUCGUUAUCUCAUGGCAACGUAACCCGCGUCGCCGACAUUUUUUCUGUUCUCGUUCCAAGACUAUCCAUACAUAACGCGAUUUUUCUCUCCUCGUUUUCGCUGGAAUUACCGGUUAAUCGAUUCCAAGAUGCAGCGAUUGCGCGCUACCAGACGCGCUGCUAUCCUAUGCUGGGAUCAUUGGAGUAAGCAGAGGGCUUUUUUCUCCACCUCCCUCCUCUUCGAUGAUACACAGAAGCAGUUUAAAGAGAGCGUUCAUCAGUUCGCACAAGAAAACAUUGCUCCGCAUGCGGCCAAGAUUGAUGCUACGAACCACUUUCCCCAGGAUGUGAACUUGUGGAAACUUAUGGGCGAUUUCGAUCUCCAUGGUAUCACAGCUCCAGAGGAAUAUGGAGGGCUUGGACUUGGUUACUUGUAUCACUGUAUUGCAAUGGAGGAAAUUAGUCGUGCUUCUGGAUCUGUUGGCCUUUCUUAUGGUGCCCAUUCCAACCUAUGCAUAAAUCAACUGGUGAGGCAUGGGACCUCUGCACAAAAGCAGAAGUAUUUGCUGAAGCUAAUCAGUGGGGAGCACGUAGGGGCUCUGGCAAUGAGUGAGCCCAACGCUGGUUCCGAUGUUGUCAGCAUGAAGUGCAAAGCUGAUCGAGUUGAUGGUGGUUAUGUGAUAAAUGGCAACAAGAUGUGGUGUACCAAUGGACCUGUUGCCCAAACUUUGGUCGUUUAUGCAAAAACAGACAUCAGUGCUGGAUCCAAAGGAAUUACAGCAUUUAUAAUCGAGAAGGGGAUGCCUGGAUUCAGUACUGCUCAGAAGUUAGAUAAACUUGGCAUGCGAGGAAGUGAUACAUGUGAACUUGUCUUUGAAUACUGCUUUGUUCCUGAAGAGAAUGUGCUUGGACAGGAAGGAAAAGGAGUUUAUGUCAUGAUGUCGGGGCUAGAUUUGGAAAGACUUGUUCUAGCUGCUGGCCCUCUCGGACUUAUGCAGGCAUGCCUUGAUGAAGCUAUUCCUUACGUUCGACAGCGAGAACAGUUUGGCCACCCAAUUGGAGAGUUUCAAUUUAUACAGGGAAAGUUGGCUGAUAUGUAUACUUCCUUACAGUCAUCAAGAGCAUUUGUUUAUUCAGUUGCUCGGGACUGUGACAAUGGAAAAGUUGACCGAAAGGACUGUGCUGGCGUUAUUCUCCUGGCUGCUGAAAAGGCUACUCAGGUCGCUCUUCAGGCUAUCCAGUGUCUUGGUGGGAAUGGGUAUGUAAACGAGUACCCAACGGGUCGUCUUCUCAGAGACGCGAAACUGUUCGAGAUUGGCGCUGGGACGAGCGAGAUCAGGCGAAUGAUCAUUGGGCGUGAACUCUUCAAACAAGACUAGCUUCCAAUUCUACAUUCUCUCAAAAGCAACAAGCAUUUGUGCCCAAAGAUGCAGAAUUAAAUAAAUGGAUACAAGGUCUCCCAACCCAAUCAAACUGAUGGUUGCUUAUGGGGAUUGCAUGCUAGUUGAUAAAUUGACAUCUGUCGAUACAGAUCGUUUGACAGAGCGUAGGGUACCUACCUGUGCUUUGGUUGUGCUUUGUUAGGUUACAAUCCUUCUAUCGUCGACUGCAAUGAUCCUUACAUGCUGAAGACAAUACUGAUCAUAAUUCAUAUCAUAACCAGAAACCAUAUUGUGCUCGUUGUUACUUCUAUUACUGUAAUAGUUAGUGGUUUUGGAAAA